rnacentral:tRNA from 1 species
CGGGUAAAGUGGGGGAUUGUCCGUUUUCAGAUUAGGGGUCUGAGGGUUGCAGGUUCGAAUCCUGUCGCCCCGACCA